rnacentral:rRNA from 1 species
CGUACACUCCUGCGGGAGGCAGCAGUGGGGAAUAUUGGACAAUGGGCGCAAGCCUGAUCCAGCCAUGCCGCGUGAGUGAUGAAGGCCCUAGGGUUGUAAAGCUCUUUCACCGGUGAAGAUAAUGACGGUAACCGGAGAAGAAGCCCCGGCUAACUUCGUGCCAGCAGCCGCGGUAAUACGAAGGGGGCUAGCGUUGUUCGGAUUUACUGGGCGUAAAGCGCACGUAGGCGGACUAUUAAGUCAGGGGUGAAAUCCCGGGGCUCAACCCCGGAACUGCCUUUGAUACUGGUAGUCUUGAGUUCGAGAGAGGUGAGUGGAAUUCCGAGUGUAGAGGUGAAAUUCGUAGAUAUUCGGAGGAACACCAGUGGCGAAGGCGGCUCACUGGCUCGAUACUGACGCUGAGGUGCGAAAGCGUGGGGAGCAAACAGGAUUAGAAACCCCGGUAGUCCCAUGA